UACGUAGGGUGCGAACGUUGUCCGGAAUUAUUGGGCGUAAAGAGCUUGUAGGCGGUUUGUCGCGUCUGCUGUGAAAAUCCGGGGCUCAACCCCGGACUUGCAGUGGGUACGGGCAGACUGGAGUGUGGUAGGGGAGACUGGAAUUCCUGGUGUAGCGGUGGAAUGCGCAGAUAUCAGGAGGAACACCGAUGGCGAAGGCAGGUCUCUGGGCCACUACUGACGCUGAGAAGCGAAAGCAUGGGGAGCGAACAGG
rnacentral:rRNA from 1 species